rnacentral:rRNA from 1 species
UACGAAGGGGGCUAGCGUUGCUCGGAAUCACUGGGCGUAAAGGGUGCGUAGGCGGGUCUUUAAGUCAGGGGUGAAAUCCUGGAGCUCAACUCCAGAACUGCCUUUGAUACUGAAGAUCUUGAGUCCGGGAGAGGUGAGGUAGGAAACUGCGAGUGUAGAGGUGAAAUUCGUAGAUAUUCGCAAGAACACCAGUGGCGAAGGCGGCUCACUGGCCCGGUACUGACGCUGA